UUAAGGGGGCUCGGGACUAUUCGACUGCGCAUAAUUUCACGCAUGAAUUACAAAAGUAUUUGUCGUAAAUUCAAUAUAUAUUUUUUUUAAAUUUUGAUUGAUUAGAAAUGUUAAAUCAUUGCAGUUAUGUGAUUAAUAGAAUAUUUUCGUUAUUAUCCGUAUUUGUUAAAUGGUCAAAAUGACAUUUCACCCAUUUUCACCAUUUUCCCGCCAAAAUUUGGGUUUUAGGGCAAAAAUAUUUUUUUUUCCUUAUCGGUGACCUAUGUUUUUUAUUUGCUCAUUCUUUGAAGC
rnacentral:lncRNA from 1 species